rnacentral:lncRNA from 1 species
GAAAUAUUGUGAAGAACAUGGGAUUGUUAAGGAAAACAUAUUUGACUUGACUAAAGUUGAUCGCUGUCUCCAGGCCCGAGAUGGGGGAGCAGCCUAGGACUCCAGGCUGUGGUUA